rnacentral:lncRNA from 1 species
GGCUCCUGGUGGUUCUCAGCUGACUCUCUUUCUAGGAAUUGACUUUAGUGGAAGGAAGCAGCCUCACUCAGGAUCACGUCCCUUCCCCAAGGGCAGCCUGUGAUUGGGCAAUGCUAGGUACAAAAGCCUGGCCCCAUGUCUCAGAAUGGGACAGCUCUGAAUGGCUAGCUUAGCUCCAGAGCCCCUGUGGGGAUGGGCUGAAGCUUUUAUGUGACUGGAUCACAGUUCAGCUUCUCCCUCUGCCCAGUCCUGCUUCCUUCACUCCUUCAGGUGUUGAUCCUGAGAGCAUCGUUCAAUAAACUUCCUGUGUGUGAAUUUCUAUCUCAAUUUCUGUUUCCAGGAACCUGAUCAACAUGUGCCAGAGCAGAAGGACAAAGCCAGUGAGGAGUGAGAUGCCCAGAGGGCAAGGGAGAUGAGGAAGAGCAGGAGCUGAAGAAGUGGCCCAAGGAGAGGACCAGAGCCGUCUGGAAGCAAUGUCUAAACCACCCAUCAGUGGUCCCACAAGUGGUGUUUGGUACUGGAGCAGCCAGUAUAUUCUAGAGCAGCCUCAUAUUCUGGUGAUUUCCUUCUCUGGGGACCAUGGCCAUGGACUUAACAAUGAAGAUGGUUGAGUUGAGAGCAAACAGCUAAAGAAUGAUAGGGGAAAACACUUCUUCCCCACUUCUGAUGUUUCCUUCUGUGUUAAAGAAACUCAAUUUGAUUUCCGGCCUCUCUGCUCCAGGAGAGGUAGAGUGACUUCUCUGAUCUGGAGCUGUGGGAAGAACAAACUGGGCAUGACUGAAUCACAUUCACCCUUCCUCCUCUUGGGGAUGAGCUGCCCUCAGGAAGCAGGUGUUCCUCUUGGUUCUUCUAGGGGAAGGCUUGACCCAUCAAACCCAACUGCCUGCAUCAGGUUGGAGAGGAGAAAACUGAAGUGGAGAGCAGUUAAGGAACAUGCUUGGGGUCCCGUGACCACUGAGUGGAUGAGUCAGAAGUCAACCCCUGCAUUAUCUGCCUCUGGGAGCUCAGCCCUGAGCACGUGGCUACCUGCAGCAAAGCAGAACUGCAUAGGAGCACAGAUGAGUUGAGACCAAGGAUGCUAAUUAGGCUUGGCUCCCUCAGCGUGAUAAAGCAAACUGACCAAUCUACUCUUUGGAAGCAGAAGAUGGGAAAGAGGCCACUUCUGAGAUGACUGUGCACCCAGAGACAGACUCUUGUUUCAUGUAACUUGUCUGUGAAAAUUCCUCUAGAUGAAUGCAGGAGGGAAUCUGGGCAAGUCCUAGAGCAGGAUAGAGAUGUUUGAAAAUCCUUUCAGAGUUAACUUAGACUAAGCAACGUAGAUGCCUCUCCCAUCCGCCCCAUUUCUGCAAAUUUCUGCCAAAAAAUAUGACCCUCUGUCUCACAGAAUUCUUAGUGUGCUGGAAGACUCCAGAAUGAUAUGCAGAGGAAGUAUUGCUGCUUCUCACAGCGGACCAUUCAGAACCUCAUGGACACUUUUCUUUUGAUUAUUUUCUUGUGGAAUUAUUUUUUUUUAUUAAUUUAAUUAUUUUUAUUGCAGUAACAUUGGUUUAUAACACUAUAUAAAUUUUGGGUGUACAUCAUUAUAUUCCGAUUUCUAUGUAGAUUACAUCAUGUUCACCACCCAAAGACUAAUUGCAAUCCAUCACCACACACACGUGUCUAAUCACCCCUUUUGUCCUUCUCCCUCUAAGACCGAUGUCAAAGAGUGUACAGCCUAUACUUUCUUCUAGGAGUUUUAUGGUUUCAGGUCUUACCAUCAAGUCUUCGAUCCAUUUUGAGUUAAUUUUUGUGUAUAGCCAAAGAUAAUGGUCUGCUUUCAUUCUUUUGUAUGUGGCUGUCCAGUUUUCCCAACAUCAUUUAUUGAAGAGACUUUCCUUUCUCCAUUGUAUUUUCUUAGCUCCUUUGUCAAAGAUUAGCUGUCUAUAGAUGUGUGGUUUUAUUUCUGGGCAUCCAAUUCUGUUCCAUUGAUCUGUGUGCCUGUUUUUGUAACAGUACAAUGCUGUUUUGAUUACUAUGGCUUUGCAGGAUAUUUUGAAGUCAGAGAUUGUGAUCCCUCCA